GGAGGUAUGGUUCAAGUGGUAGAGCACCAGACUAGCAAACUAAGAAGCCCUGAAUUCAAACUUCAGUAUUGCCU
rnacentral:tRNA from 1 species